UACGUAGGGUACAAGCGUUGUCCGGAAUUAUUGGGCGUAAAGAGCUCGUAGGCGGUCUGUCGCGUCGGCUGUGAAAUCCCGGAGCUCAACUCCGGGUCUGCAGUCGAUACGGGCAAACUGGAGUACUGCAGGGGAGACUGGAAUUCCUGGUGUAGCGGUGAAAUGCGCAGAUAUCAGGAGGAACACCGGUGGCGAAGGCGGGUCUCUGGGCAGUAACUGACGCUGAGGAGCGAAAGCGUGGGGAGCGAACAGG
rnacentral:rRNA from 1 species